rnacentral:lncRNA from 1 species
CUCACACUCACAAUGACUUACACGGGCACUCACUGUCACGCACAGCCACCCAUGUACAGUGAACCCGAGACACACUAACCGCCUGGCGGCCACCCAGCGACAUGGGGUCACACCCGGUCUCCGCGCCGCCCGAGCCCUCACCCCGGUCACCAACUCGCGCGUCGGGGCUUUAACUUCCCUGCGCCCGGGCGCACUAAUUGGUCGUUCACUAAUUGGCCGUCACUCGCCUGGCGGGGCCUGGGAUUCCGAGUUGGCAGUGGCGGCCACUCGGGGCUGUCCCCCGAGGCCUGUCGCCUCCCAGUGCAAGAUCUACAUCUCCCUCUUCUUCAAACAAGCUCCAUGUGCUUGGAUCUGGGCCUUGGAUCUACAGAUUGUGUGUACUUUGUAUUUGUUGAGCACCUGCUGUGUGUCAGGCCCUCUAGCAGCUGAGACCCAGAGAUGCGCAAGGCAGAGGGGUCCUGGCCGUCAUGGAGCUCACAGCCUAAUGAGGAAGAUGAACAAUAAGCAGAAAGAAAAGCAUCCAUCAAAAUAAACAACCAGAAAACAUUGGCUGGAGGGAUGUGCUGU